rnacentral:rRNA from 1 species
UACGUAGGGUGCAAACGUUGUUCGGAAUUACUGGGCGUAAAGCGCGUGUAGGCGGCCAGCACAAGUCAGUUGUGAAAUCUCCGAGCUUAACUCGGAACGGUCAACUGCUACUGUGCGGCUAGAGUGCGGAAGGGGCAACUGGAAUUCUUGGUGUAGCGGUGAAAUGCGUAGAUAUCAAGAGGAACACCUGCGGCGAAGGCGGGUUGCUGGGCCGACACUGACGCUGAGGCGCGAAAGCCAGGGGAGCGAACGGG